UACAGAGGUCCCAAGCGUUUGUUCGGAUUCACUGGGCGUAAAGGGUGCGUAGGUGGCAUGGCCAGUUUGAUGUGAAAGCUCAGGGCUUAACCCUGAAAUGGCAUUGAAUACUGCUGUGCUGGAGGUUUGGAGGGGGGACUGGAAUUCUUGGUGUAGCAGUGAAAUGCGUAGAUAUCAAGAGGAACACCAGUGGCGAAGGCGAGUCCCUGGACAACACCUGACACUGAGGCACGAAAGCUAGGGGAGCAAACAGG
rnacentral:rRNA from 1 species